rnacentral:sRNA from 1 species
AACAUGUACAUUUACUCUUCAGAGCUGGCUACAAAGCUGACAAGCCCAAUCCUAAUGUCACGUGUUUAGAUACAGGCUACUGGGGCACGCCGACCUUCACUUGUCAGAAAGCCAAUACACCCGCACUUCGACUUCCGAGUCUCCAAAAAGCAUUCAAUAAAAAUUUAGGAGUUCAGCACUUAUUUCAACUUCAAGAACUGGCCAGUACGUUAAUAAAAGCCAGACAGCCCGAGGUUAAAAAACCCAGGCCUCUAUGGCCAGCCAGUGCAGCCCUUCUCUUCAGAACUAAGUCUCUAGCCCUACCACCCAGACCUCCCCAGAUCCCUGCAAACCAAAAGAAUCUUGCCACCCAACAGAAUGUUGCCAUUUCUAGGAUUCUGACCAUUCCUCAGAAUCUUGCCCUUCUAAAGAAUCUAGCCAGCCCACAGAGAUUGCCCAAUUUCCCAAAUUCGCAAUUAGCUGCCGCAGUACAAAGAAGUAAGUAUUGGUGCUUGGAGAUGUAGUCAUGUGACUCCCAAACACCAGGGGGAGCUUGUACUUACCUUCCCUAACAACUAACAUUUAGUAUUAGUACACAUUUGGUUUGUGUACACGAUAACAAGUAGUGAUAAGAGAUAAAUACAAGCGGGCUACUAGAAACUAAAGCAACGAAAAUCUGUUAAUUUUGAUGUGUAACUGUCUCACGAUAUUUUAAUACAAAUAAAAUAUUUUUCCAAUACCAGUCUAAAUCAAGAUUAAAAUGGUCUCUAAGGAUUCUAUCCCUUCGCUCUUCAACUAAAAGAAAAGUUGAGAUCUAAUAAUUAAAAAAAACAAAUCUAUUUAUAAUUCUCUAGAUUUUGGAAGAGUGCUUUGAAAAGGAGGAGAAAAAAAAACCUAGCACUAACAACUUCGGUGCAGGAAUGUCACAAUAAUCUUGAAAGCCAAACAAUAUGGUGGGCCCCUUAACACGGCUUCUAUUUGUUACAUCUG